rnacentral:lncRNA from 1 species
AUGAAUGUAUCGAAACUUAAAAAAUAUCUCUAAAUGUGUUUUCUGAAUGAACUGACAAAUAAAAGACACAUUUCAUGAUUAAAAGAACUAGCAAAAAACACAUUUGAUGAUAUUUAUUUAGAGAUUAUAAUGACACUAUUAGACAUAUUUAAAGACUAUUGGUAUAUCUUUUUGAUAAUAUUCUUGAAUUUGUACACUAUUGAACUUGUAAGACUCUAUGACCUUGUUGUAUUUUGAUUAAAAAAAAUUGAACUAGUUGCAAGCACAUUAAUUGCACAUUUGAUUAAAAAAAUAAACUUCCUAGUUGGGCCGCUCAGACUUGUUGUAAUCAGGAUUAGCUGGUUGCUACUGACACCUGACAAAGACUUGUGCACCCCCUGUAUAGGUCCAGUUUGGGAACGGAAAUAAGUCCCCGUCACUUUCUUUUUUACCAUAAAAAGUUUUCACCAUCGUUAUAGACUU